rnacentral:lncRNA from 1 species
CAACCAGCUGGAGUGCUAUCUGUAAUCUCACAUGAUGAUCCAAGACUCGUCAAAUCAUCUCAAAAUCCACAGAGACCUUUCUUUCCACAUGCAACAGUAAGAAAAUGGAGGUCAGAGUACAAGUCCAACUUCAAAACCCCUCAGGUGUUUAGUUAUGAGAAUGGAGUAUGGAAAGGUGCAGAUCCUCCUCAUGUCCAACCUAGAGGUGAUUCAUCAGAUAGAGGGGUCAAACCAGAGCACCUCACCAGGUCAAAGUCUGUAGGAGACUUACCCAACUGGUUCUCAGAAGUCUUAGAAUUACGUGAGAGGGCGAAAGAGUACCAGAAGCGGUCCCGAGGCACUAAUUUUACCAGGCAGCAUCUAGGUACUGGCUACUCAGGCCAAGUUAUGGGAGGAAUCCAGUGAUCAACUUAGUACAUCAAGCUCUAUCUCCACUCAAACAACAGGAUCAGAGAAAAAAGAUGAACCAAAGGAGGGAGCACGCCCUUCAGCGAGUGCUCCAGACUUGGGCCAUGAACCAACAAGAAGAAAGCUAGGUUGGCAUGCCAACAACAACAAAGCGGAGGAAGAACCCAACCAAAACAGAAACAUUGCACAUCUUGAAAGGAGAUCAAGUAUCAGCAGUGUUACAACCCCUGAGUCAAUGCCAAGUAUGUCAUCUCGGAGUUCUGAGAUAGAAAGCAUUGAAGAGAAUGGGCGCCUUACAACCCCAACCCAAGGGGGGAGUCUGAACAGUCACAUGGAAGCAAGAGACACCAUUUAGACAGGACCACUCCUGCAAAAGGAGGUGCCUUGCUGACUUCACCAGCAUCAAGAAGAAGAGCCACCCAUGUUCCUAAAACCAUAGUAACCUAUCCAAGGCAAGGAGAGCCGAUGAAGCCCAGUAGUCGUACAUAUGUUGCAAGGUCUGCCCCUGUCAAAGCAAUCAUUCCUGGCGGUAUCACAAAAGGCUUUGAAUAUGAUAGUGAUGAUGAUGAUGAGGAUGAUGUUGAUCUAGACAUAACACUUACACGGGGGCAGCAGACACCUCCUCGUAAUCCCACCCAACAAAAACAGAUGGGAAGAUUCUUGCACUCCUCACCAUCAGCUGGAAGGAGAACCUCUGAUCCACAUCCUCUCAACGAGGAACUGAUAUCCCCCAGGCUUCCAGAGGCACUCUGAGAGAUUCUUUGAAACCAGUCCCGGGAUGCCAACCAUCCCAAACAAGAUCGAGCCGCCAAAGACCUGGGCGGGUCUUAAAACAGCUCCUCCUGCUGGGAAAGGUCCCCUUGAAAGACCGCACUCUGGUAGGAUCGGCGGACGCCCACAGACGGCCGUCCCACAGACCAGAGAAGCUGCCUCUCAGCAGGUGCAAAGACUCCAUUCCUUCAUGUCACCCAGGUCCAACGGUCUAGAGUCUCCCGAUGAUUGGAACCUGACCCCACCCAGGGGUGGAGGAGGGGGCGGAGAGACAGCGAUGAGCUCUCCUUAUCAACCAUGUCCAAUGCAUCCAGCUGCAGUCUAGCAUCUGAGGUACUCGAGAGAGCCAAGAAGAGGCGUGAUGACUUCUGGGGAAAAGAUAAAAGAGAUUGAGAUGAUGUGCUUUAGUGAAAUGAAUUUAUAGCAGUAAUGGUAUUCCUUUUUUUUUUUUUUUGAACAAAUACAACACACAGGGGAAUCACUUUGAGAAGUUAACGAUUCCCUUACAGAUUAAUCAGAGCCAAUAUAAACACAAUUUCAGGAAAUGUGAACAAAAGCUGGGGAGAAUUUGGAAGUUGUGUGGUUCUUUCCAGAAAGGAAAGUGGAAAUCCGAAAUGCCAGUAGGACUUUUCCCCUGUAAGCUAUUUGUAAUGAGUGUCUAGCUCAUGAAGACCUGAUAACUUAAUUCAUUCUUUUUAUUAUGUGUUGUGAUGUUAUCCAAAAAUUAGUUGAGCAUCAUAUGAAUCAUCAUGCAUUGAUAGAAUAUUUAAUACUUCAUAAAUCUCUUGUCUUCAUUAGAGACAGUGUUAAACAUUAACAGUCUUUCAGACAUAAAAGGAUGUCUUUUUCAUUGAAAAUCAAAGCACUUGCCACUUUAAUCUCUCUUAAGUAAACUAAAUUUGAGCACAACCUCUUUAUAUUUUUAGACUUCUGCAAAGAAAACAAAAUCUCAGGCAAAUUUUACCUUGUAAAUUUUGAAAGGCCUAUUUUACUUUUUAUCAUUUCUGAUUUUAAACAUGGGCACCUAUUUAUUUCCUUGUGCUUCUUAAGUGUACAUAGUGUAUAGUAUUAUUUGUUUUGAAGUGAACCGAAUGAAAUAUGUAACAUUAUGUGCAGUUUUGAUUUUAUUUUUGUUUAUUAUUUAUACAUAGCCCAUUCAUGCUUCGAAGUUAAUUUGUAAAUGUCUAGUACAUGUAUCUAAUUUUAGACAUGAAUUUGAAUAGAAAAUAGUUUGAUUUUGUUGAUAAAUGGAUGAGUGGACAUUCAAACUGCCCUUUUAGCUGUGUAGUCAUUCACAUAGGUUUGCAAUAUAGUAAAGGGAUCGUGUAGGACCAUGUUGUGUUAGACCAAAGCUUUUGUCUGGGCACGAUUUGCAUAUCAUAGUCUUUCCAAAUACAUGUAGAUACUUUUUUCAGUUUUCCUCCUGUACUCUUUGGGUUUAGAUGUACUUUACAUUCCACUUUUUCAUCCAGUUAUAGAUACAUGUAAAUGCAGUAUUGUAGCUUGUGGAUAUAAGAUCCUGAAGUACAUGUGUUGAUAUGUAUAAACAAUGCAAAAUAGAGUCUUUUAUACUUGCACAAAAAUGCAUUAAUGUUCUAUUUUUCCACUGGAUAUUCAUGCAUGUAUUUUGAUUUGGAAAAAAAUGUAAUAGAGUGUAUAAAGGGUGAACUAGAAGUACUGUUUAAAAUGAAAUGAAUUGUUGUUUUUUCCCCCAUCAUAUGCAGUAUGGAUGGAUUAUUUAUUAUUUUCACACUUUCCACAAAUAUGGGAUGUUAGCAUUGCUAAUUAAUGACUGGCAUGUGUAUGGUUUUCAUGUUUGAAUCAUUUAUGGACUGGAUGGUUACUGAAUUCUCAUCACAAAAAAAACACAGUUUCUGUAGCCAACGAGUAAAUGCAAAAUGUUAAAGCUGGUCAUAAACUUGUAUUUAUUUGACGAAAAAAAGUAGAACAUUCAAAAUUAAGAUAUUUAAUAUGUCCCUUUCAUGUAAUACUAGUAAACCACACGAGUCAAUGGAUUAGCAACAUUCAUACUUCACCCUAUGAUUUCAGUAAUAUUCGUGAAGAGGUCAUGGCCUUUUCGAAAAUAAUAACACAAAUAUCAAUAAAAUGUCAGGGAUUUUCAAAAUCUGACUGAAUAUGACUUCCUUCUUUGUCCUUUAAAGAGUUUUUGGAAAUGUAAAAUUCCAAUGAGCUUCCUCAUUUUGUGUAUCAACAGGAAACUGUUAAUAUUUCGUAGUAUUGAUUUAGAAACUUAAAUUUCUUAAAAGGAUAUAACAAAGAUCUGCAACAUCAAAUAAACAAAAAAAUGUAUUGAUAUCAAUAUGAAUGUGGACUAAACCUAGAUGCAGUACAUGCUUUAUUCGGUUUACAUACAUCAUAGAAAUUAAUGAGAAAAAACGACAAUAUUUGGUAUUAAGCCUCCUCUGGCUUUUUAAGUGCACCAAGCACCAACAAGUAUACCAUGUUGCUGUACUGUAUUUAAAAUGUGAGCUUCAAAUAUUGCUAUAAAAGAGAUAUAGCAAAUUUUAAAUACAUUCUCAAUUAACAUAAUAAUGACUUGUCAGUUUACUAGUCCAUGCAUCGGUACCUACUUUGUAUAGAACCCAAGUUUGAAUUGGGUCGUAUUAUUAGGGUUUAAUUUUAUUCUCAUAUUUAUAGUCCUUAACCAUUACCCAAUAGAAUGUAAUGUAAAAGUGUCAUAAAGUUGAUUGUACUUUAGCUGUAUACAAAUUACUUUGUUGGGUGAUUAGUACACCUCGAGACUGCUAAUCCUCAUACCGGUAGGUAGAUCAAUAUACAUGUAUGAGGAUUAGCAACUCAAAGUACCUUGUAUGUUUAAUUGGCAUGGUACUGUAGUAAUAAACAAUGUUCAGAUUCAAUUCAUUUUAAAACUAUUUGUUACCACAUCAAUUGAAGGAAAUUGUGGCCUGUCACGAGGCCAAGGAAAUGGUUCAUUGUGUGGGCGUGGGAUUCCCCCCUCUGCAAUAGUGAGAAAAAAUUUGCUUGGUAUGAUAAUAUUUUCUUGAAUUAUGUCAAGUACUACUAAGUUGCUGAGUCAUUAAGUUUUGACUGUCAAGUCCCCUUUGCAUAGAAUUAGUAGAAAAGACUGUCAUUGAUUGUUGAAAAAGACCUUGAGUUCAGGACCUAAAUAGAACAGAAGGAAUAAAAACAAUAUCUUGAAUUUAUAAAUUUGAAAUAUAAUAUGAAUUCUUUAUACUAAAGAAAUGAAAUACUGCAUAAGCAAAAUUUAUUAUAAAAAGUCUCUUGACUGUUAUUAGGAAUGAACUUAAAUUGAACUCUUUACAAAAAAGUCACUUGGUUUGUAGUGUCUCUUACUAAAUUGAAAAAUGCAAUAUGAAAUAUGUGGAUUAUGAGAUGGAAUGGUGUAUAAGUGUCAAGCUUGUGUUGUCUGUUGAGAGCCAGAAGAGCAUUAAACCUGUAUAAAAGUAUAGGAAUUGAUGCCCUUGUGGCUUUUGGUGGAUGAUAUAAUGCUUUGAAACCCUGUGUAAUCAAAAAGGUUUCUUUACUCCUUUUAAACGUUGAAAUUGACUUUGAUGUUUGAAAAUGUAGUCCUCGUGAAAUGGUUCUCCAUGAAAACUCAUUUCUCUUCAUUACUGCAUACUAGUACUGCUUUAUUCGUCUACAGAAUUCAAAGUAACACAAAAGGAGAGAAGAAAAGAAGACAUUACCCUGGCCCUUGGCUUGACAUUGCAACACCAGAAGAUGUAUAUUUUCAGUUUUGUGUAUGGAAACUGUGAUGGAGAGGCAGAUUUUGUCUUGUUUGCUAAUAAAUCUUACUCAUACAUGUCGGAGUAUGACAGAAAAUAAAA